rnacentral:rRNA from 1 species
AUUGAACGCUGGCGGCAGGCCUAACACAUGCAAGUCGAGCGAGCGACGGACGGGGGAGUAAUGUAUGGGGACUGCCCGAUAGAGGGGGAUCACGAAUGGACACGGUAGCUAAUACCGCAUACUAUCGGAUAACCCAUAUGGGAUUAGCUAGUAGGUGAGGUAAUGGCUCACCUAGGCGACGAUCCCUAGCUGGUCUGAGAGGAUGAUCAGCCACACGGGGACGGAGACACGGCCCAGACUCCUACGGAGGCAGCAGUGGGGAAUAUUGCACAAUGGACGCAAGCCUGAUCCAGCCAUGCCGCGUGUAUGAAGAAGGUCUUAGGGUUGUAAAGCACUUUCAGUCGGGAGGCGUUACCUACACAAAAAGCACCGGCUAACUCCGUGCCAGCAGCCGCGGUAAUAC